UUCUGAGGAAAAAAUUUUAUGGGGUUCCACUAGAGAGUAAUUAUAUUAAAUAUUUGUAAUUAACACUUACGAUAUUCGUGUUCAAGAGAAUUGCUUGAAUUAUUGAGGUUUUUGAUAAAAGAACAAAUGGAGUCCUAGUUUAAAAAAUUUGGACCUCAAUCGUUGUCUAGAGAUACUAGUUUAAGUCCAUCUCGUGACAAAGGACUACCUUCUCUCUGGACAAAGAAAAAACACUAAUUAUUUUUAAUUUUAAUGGUGUUCCGUUUUGGGAAUGUGUGAAUGCACGCGCAGAAGAAAUUAUCAUACAAAAUUGGUUGUUUCUUGAAUAUAAAUUCAUGCAAGUAAAUGUCACCUUCUUGGUAGUUGAAUUGAACAAAAUUAGAAAUCCUUAAUAAAGAAAAAUAUCAAAAAUGUUUACAAUUGCGUUAUACCGUCCAAGGUAUCAAAUGUUACUUCAUAGGAAUAUGGUAUGCUCAAGGGUGGAUGUAGCAGGGACAGGACCGAGCUAUAGGCCGGUCCAAUUUCCAACCCAUUUCAUUUUGGUUCGGCUUUAUUUAUUUAUUUUAAUUUCGGUCCUAAAUUUGUACUUAAGUACGUUGGUAUGCCACGAACAUCUACGCAUGUAACGUUGAGCCUCGAAACCCCAAUCAAAGACUUUUGAUUUGACUAUGAACUAAAAUUCUCAACAUUAACGAAAUGUGAGAUUUUGCUACAAUAUGAAACGGAAAGAUGGCUAGAUUUAACGAAAUGUUGGCAGAUUUUGUCAUCUCUUUGUUUUGGGAUGGAAAAGGCCUUUAAAAUAAAUAAUUUUACAUCUUCAAUUCUGAAAACAUGUCUCAUAUAAAUUUUUAUUUUAAUCUAACAAUUAUAAAUAUCGAAUUUUUUUACAAUUUUUUCUUUAUUUUACUGAAAUAAUUGUAUGUUUUAAUAUUGUAGUUUGGCUUGUUAGGUCCCAACAUCUAAUACAUCUUCUUUUUUUUUUUUUUUUUUUCCUGGCUAGAGAUUUAAUUAGUUUUCGCAAUUUAGGAAAUCUAUUUUGUCGGAGAAUUGCGGCUAUUUUUAAGAUAAAUUUUGAUUUUGGACCGUGCUACAGAGCCCUGGUUAAAAUCUCGAGCUCCAAUCCAGGGCCGAGGUGCCACCCCGGCCGUAGAUCUUCUGCACUUGGGGGGCCCGCCAUCAAAAAUCGGGGGCAGAGGCUCUACCACCUCUGCCCCUGGAAUGGAACCCGGGAUUUAAUUCCGGGUUCUUCGGCAUUUUCCUUAAAAGUGUAUAUUAAUAUCGGAAACAUAGAAAUCAAUAAGGACUAUAAAUAUGCUAGUCCUUGGUAAUGGUAGCCUCACACUAUGUUUGAAAAAGCCUACGUACAUAUAUUAAACAUGAUUAUCGUUUAAGUUGAAGUUUUAAACUUACAUACCAUAGCUUAAUCAACAUUUUGAGUAGAUCCUUCCAUCUCUCAACCGAUCAUUAAAAAUCUUAAAAAUAUUCAUAUUAUCAAUUUUUAUUUGUAUGCUUUCUGCCCCCUCCACUGGCUUUUGUGUCUAUACAUACAUACAUGAUGCAGGAUAACAAUGGCUAUGGGAUUAUUCUAUUUGGGACUAACGGACACCACAGCUACAUAUGCCACCAAUUUCUUGAAUCUAAUCCCAGUUGUCACCUUUAUCUUCUCAUCAAUCCUAAGGUAUGUAUACAUGUAAAUCAUUGACCGCUUGCAAGAAGCGAGCUAGGGGAGUACAAGGGUUUUUCUUUUUUUUUUUUAACUGGACUAAUAUAUAGGGAAAAAAAUAUAUUUUUUUAUACUUAGCUGAUAAAUAGAAGAAAAAUGUAUUCAUAAAUAUUUUCACAUAUAAAAGAAAAUAAAUGGGCUCCCCAUCUUCCAUGAACUGUAUUGAAAGUCUAAGAUUUUUACUUUUAUCUUUUAAAAAUCAGUGAGCUAACUUUUCUGAGGAAAAAAUUUUAUGGGGUUCCACUAGAGAGUAAUUAUAUUAAAUAUUUGUAAUUAACACUUACGAUAUUCGUGUUCAAGAGAAUUGCUUGAAUUAUUGAGGUUUUUGAUAAAAGAACAAAUGGAGUCCUAGUUUAAAAAAUUUGGACCUCAAUCGUUGUCUAGAGAUACUAGUUUAAGUCCAUCUCGUGACAAAGGACUACCUUCUCUCUGGACAAAGAAAAAACACUAAUUAUUUUUAAUUUUAAUGGUGUUCCGUUUUGGGAAUGUGUGAAUGCACGCGCAGAAGAAAUUAUCAUACAAAAUUGGUUGUUUCUUGAAUAUAAAUUCAUGCAAGUAAAUGUCACCUUCUUGGUAGUUGAAUUGAACAAAAUUAGAAAUCCUUAAUAAAGAAAAAUAUCAAAAAUGUUUACAAUUGCGUUAUACCGUCCAAGGUAUCAAAUGUUACUUCAUAGGAAUAUGGUAUGCUCAAGGGUGGAUGUAGCAGGGACAGGACCGAGCUAUAGGCCGGUCCAAUUUCCAACCCAUUUCAUUUUGGUUCGGCUUUAUUUAUUUAUUUUAAUUUCGGUCCUAAAUUUGUACUUAAGUACGUUGGUAUGCCACGAACAUCUACGCAUGUAACGUUGAGCCUCGAAACCCCAAUCAAAGACUUUUGAUUUGACUAUGAACUAAAAUUCUCAACAUUAACGAAAUGUGAGAUUUUGCUACAAUAUGAAACGGAAAGAUGGCUAGAUUUAACGAAAUGUUGGCAGAUUUUGUCAUCUCUUUGUUUUGGGAUGGAAAAGGCCUUUAAAAUAAAUAAUUUUACAUCUUCAAUUCUGAAAACAUGUCUCAUAUAAAUUUUUAUUUUAAUCUAACAAUUAUAAAUAUCGAAUUUUUUUACAAUUUUUUCUUUAUUUUACUGAAAUAAUUGUAUGUUUUAAUAUUGUAGUUUGGCUUGUUAGGUCCCAACAUCUAAUACAUCUUCUUUUCUUUUUUUUUUUUUCCUGGCUAGAGAUUUAAUUAGUUUUCGCAAUUUAGGAAAUCUAUUUUGUCGGAGAAUUGCGGCUAUUUUUAAGAUAAAUUUUGAUUUUGGACCGUGCUACAGAGCCCUGGUUAAAAUCUCGAGCUCCAAUCCAGGGCCGAGGUGCCACCCCGGCCGUAGAUCUUCUGCACUUGGGGGGCCCGCCAUCAAAAAUCGGGGGCAGAGGCUCUACCACCUCUGCCCCUGGAAUGGAACCCGGGAUUUAAUUCCGGGUUCUUCGGCAUUUUCCUUAAAAGUGUAUAUUAAUAUCGGAAACAUAGAAAUCAAUAAGGACUAUAAAUAUGCUAGUCCUUGGUAAUGGUAGCCUCACACUAUGUUUGAAAAAGCCUACGUACAUAUAUUAAACAUGAUUAUCGUUUAAGUUGAAGUUUUAAACUUACAUACCAUAGCUUAAUCAACAUUUUGAGUAGAUCCUUCCAUCUCUCAACCGAUCAUUAAAAAUCUUAAAAAUAUUCAUAUUAUCAAUUUUUAUUUGUAUGCUUUCUGCCCCCUCCACUGGCUUUUGUGUCUAUACAUACAUACAUGAUGCAGGAUAACAAUGGCUAUGGGAUUAUUCUAUUUGGGACUAACGGACACCACAGCUACAUAUGCCACCAAUUUCUUGAAUCUAAUCCCAGUUGUCACCUUUAUCUUCUCAUCAAUCCUAAGGUACU
rnacentral:lncRNA from 1 species